AGAGUUUGAUCCUGGCUCAGGAUGAACGCUAGCGACAGGCCUAACACAUGCAAGUCGAGGGGCAGCGGAGAGGUAGCAAUACCUUUGCCGGCGACCGGCGCACGGGUGAGUAACACGUAUGCAAUCCACCUGUAACAGGGGGAUAACCCGGAGAAAUCCGGACUAAUACCCCAUAAUAUGGGCUCUCCGCAUGGAGGGUCCAUUAAAGAGAGCAAUUUUGGUUACAGACGAGCAUGCGCUCCAUUAGCCAGUUGGCGGGGUAACGGCCCACCAAAGCGACGAUGGAUAGGGGUUCUGAGAGGAAGGUCCCCCACAUUGGAACUGAGACACGGUCCAAACUCCUACGGGAGGCAGCAGUGAGGAAUAUUGGUCAAUGGUCGGCAGACUGAACCAGCCAAGUCGCGUGAGGGAAGACGGCCCUACGGGUUGUAAACCUCUUUUGUCGGAGAGUAAAGUACGCUACGUGUAGCGUAUUGCAAGUAUCCGAAGAAAAAGCAUCGGCUAACUCCGUGCCAGCAGCCGCGGUAAUACGGAGGAUGCAAGCGUUAUCCGGAUUUAUUGGGUUUAAAGGGUGCGUAGGCGGCACGCCAAGUCAGCGGUGAAAUUUCCGGGCUCAACCCGGACUGUGCCGUUGAAACUGGCGAGCUAGAGUGCACAAGAGGCAGGCGGAAUGCGUGGUGUAGCGGUGAAAUGCAUAGAUAUCACGCAGAACCCCGAUUGCGAAGGCAGCCUGCUAGGGUGAAACAGACGCUGAGGCACGAAAGCGUGGGUAUCGAACAGGAUUAGAUACCCUGGUAGUCCACGCAGUAAACGAUGAAUACUAACUGUUUGCGAUACAAUGUAAGCGGUACAGCGAAAGCGUUAAGUAUUCCACCUGGGGAGUACGCCGGCAACGGUGAAACUCAAAGGAAUUGACGGGGGCCCGCAC
rnacentral:rRNA from 1 species